rnacentral:rRNA from 1 species
UGGGGAAUAUUGCGCAAUGGGGGGAACCCUGACGCAGCCAUGCCGCGUGAAUGAAGAAGGCCUUAGGGUUGUAAAGUUCUUUCGGUAUUGAGGAAGGUUGAUGUGAUAAUAGCACAUCAAAUUGACGUUAAAUACAGAAGAAGCACCGGCUAACUCCGUGCCAGCAGCCGCGGUAAUACGGAGGGUGCGAGCGUUAAUCGGAAUAACUGGGCGUAAAGGGCACGCAGGCGGUUAUUUAAGUGAGGUGUGAAAGCCCUGGGCUUAACCUAGGAAUUGCAUUUCAGACUGGGUAACUAGAGUACUUUAGGGAGGGGUAGAAUUCCACGUGUAGCGGUGAAAUGCGUAGAGAUGUGGAGGAAUACCGAAGGCGAAGGCAGCCCCUUGGGAAUGUACUGACGCUCAUGUGCGAAAGCGUGGGGAGCAAACAGGAUUAGAUACCCUGGUAGUCCACGCUGUAAACGCUGUCGAUUUGGGGGUUGGGGUUUAACUUUGGCGCCCGUAGCUNACGUGAUAAAUCGACCGCCUGGGGAGUACGGCCGCAAGGUU